rnacentral:rRNA from 1 species
UACGUAGGUGGCAAGCGUUUGUCCGGAUUUAUUGGGUUUAAAGGGUGCGUAGGCGGUCGAUUAAGUCAGUGGUGAAAUACUUCAGCUUAACUGGAGAGGUGCCAUUGAUACUGGUUGACUUGAGUACUGAUGAGGUAGGCGGAAUGGACGGUGUAGCGGUGAAAUGCUUAGAUAUCGUCCAGAACACCGAUAGCGAAGGCAGCUUACUAAGGAGUAACUGACGCUGAGGCACGAAAGUGUGGGGAUCAAACAGG